GGGGAGAUAGUGUAGGGGUUAUCACGCUUGCUUUGCAUGCAAGAUGUCCCGGGUUCAAUUCCCGGUCUCUCCA
rnacentral:tRNA from 1 species